rnacentral:rRNA from 1 species
CGGAGGCAGCAGUGAGGAAUUUUGGACAAUGGGCGAAAGCCUGAUCCAGCAAUGCCGCGUGCAGGAAGAAGGCCUUCGGGUUGUAAACUGCUUUUGUACGGAACGAAACGGUCUGCUCUAAUAAAGUGGGCUAAUGACGGUACCGUAAGAAUAAGCACCGGCUAACUACGUGCCAGCAGCCGCGGUAAUACGUAGGGUGCGAGCGUUAAUCGGAAUUACUGGGCGUAAAGCGUGCGCAGGCGGUUAUGUAAGACAGUUGUGAAAUCCCCGGGCUUAACCUGGGAAUUGCAUCUGUGACUGCAUGGCUAGAGUACGGUAGAGGGGGAUGGAACUCCGCGUGUAGCAGUGAAAUGCGUAGAUAUGCGGAGGAACACCGAUGGCGAAGGCAAUCCCCUGGACCUGUACUGACGCUCAUGCACGAAAGCGUGGGGAGCAAACAGGAUUAGAUACCCGGGUAGUCCU